GCCACUGUGUUGUAGUGGUCUGAGGGUUGGACUGUGACUCUGGAGACCAGGGUUCGAAUCCCCGCUCGGCCA